rnacentral:lncRNA from 1 species
AAAAAAAAUAUUUUAUUUUACCUACAGGAUGUUAUAAUAUUGACAUAUGAUGCUAUAAUUUAGAUCUGGUAUAUCGUAAUAUAGUCAAAACUGCCAUCAAUAGGCGUUUUAGGUACAGGAUGUCAUAAUUUUAAUGUUGAAUAUCAUAAAUUCAACCCAGGAUGUCAUAAAAAUAUCCAAAAGUAUACUUUCGAGUUUUUGUUAUAAUAUCAACCCAGAAUGUCAUGACAUCUUGACUUAUUAUACUUUCAGAUAACAUUUUUAUGACAUGCUGUAUUUAAAACUAAAAAGAGAACUCCAUUUAAAAUCUAACUAAUACAUUAACUUCGCUUAACUAUGAAAAAAUUGUUGUAAUAAAAGAACGACCACAAAAUUAUAAAAAAGCAUCUACAGAUGGUAUUUUACUUCUUGAUGGGUGAGACAUAUUGCUUGGAUGGAUAUAUAUUAUCUAGAUGCUACUCAAAAAUCUCGGAUGCAGAAUUGUGGUUGAAAAAUUUUUGCUUGGACGAGUAGAAGCUCGACAAAAAGGAAGAAGAAGAGAGAAAAGAGUAGCAUUCUAAAUAUCCAACUAGAUGAUAAGAUAUUAAAAAAGUCAUCUGGGAGGGAAAGGGUAUUUUGAUCAUGUUAAAAUUGAGCUAAAAUUUAAAAAAUAGAUUAUGACGUGUAUUAAAUAUAUUCAGCGAUGGGACAGUGCACCACUUCCAUUUUCUCCACGCCUGCAGACUCUCGGUCACAUCACCCAUUUUUUCUUGGACGAGUAGAAGCUCGACAAAAAGGAG